UGGCCUAGCGCGGCGGCGAGCGUCGAGGGAGGACGCGCUCGAGGAGAGCGCGGGCGUUCUACGGAGCGGCCGCUGGGGUGUGGAGGCGGUGCGGGGCGGCGGCCGCUGGAAGGGGCGACCUAGAGGCUGGAGGUACCACAGCAACCGGAAGUUAGAGCGACCUAGGCCGGCGGAGGUACGGUUUAGGUGGCCUUUACCUAGGUGGGGCCGGUCUAGGCGGGCCUAGGUUGGCCCGGGGCGGCAGCAGCGGUGGCCUCGCGGCGGGGCUUUAAAACCAAGUCUGACGAGAAGUUAGGAACGACUAAACACCAAAACUCUGGGUGGGUUCGUCCCGACGCGAGUCCUCUUCUUGGACGACAAGGACCUCCGGACUGUCUGUCGGCUAGGGCGAUAAUAGUGUUCAGGCGAAACACUGCUCGACCAGUUGUGCGCCCUCCUCUGUAUAUACUAAGGUGAACACGUUUCAGACGGACAUGAUGAUAGGUAUAACGGGGUAUCGUUAUGUUAAAUAGAUGACGGAGUUAUCGAGUGAAGACGUUCAGUAUUGCAAGGUGAAAUUAUGAAAUCUUACAUGUCGGCUCAAAUUAUUCACCUAGUUUACGUCAACAGUAUGUGGAGGAAACCAACUUAGACUUAAGACAAUCUUUGUACUGUUUGGUGGAUUUAUACGGUAACUAGACAUGUUUUGACUCUCUAAAACACAAAAGUAUCAAGAAAACGCGAGACUGGCUUAAACGAAUAGACAGUAAAAAAAGUCUACAACGUUGGAACCCGCUAGCCAAGUAACCUAAGAACUUUGGUCACGGAAAAGACUUCAUUCAGACCGUACGUUCCAUGGGAGUGCCAAAUAAAAGUUCUCUACCGCAACCCCAGAGCCCCUGCACGGCCUGCCGCAGCGCAAGGACGUGGAACCCCUACCGAAACCCAACUUAAGGGGAGGUACGUUAGAACACGAGGAAACCCACAAAGAUUAGAAAGACGGAAGAUCGCAUUUAUCUCUCUACAAGAGGGUAGCGAUAACCGACAGUUUAAUCGCUACGUUAGGUAGGGAUACAGCCGUGUUAGUCGUCUUGUUUCGUCGAUGGUACUAAACGGGUAACUAGAGAACCUCACUAAGUUUGGACGUUCGUGGUCCCAUUACUGAGUACGAGAUGAUGCAGUCUAACUCACUGAGGACGUAUACUACUGACUUCUUAAAAAGUAGUUAAAAGGUUGGACUUAAUCGAUGUCUUCCCUUUUCUCCUCAGGUCCGAGACUACUUGUGUAGCAGAAAGGGUCUUUGGUGAAGUUGAUCGGGUCCUGACACAGAUAAUCAGGAGGUCAUAAACAACUCUACUCUAUUGUGUAACAUACUGUCCAUUGUUCGUUGACUUCGUUCUUCUAAAAAAUUUAAAGAACCUUUCAUAUUGGUGGAAUUGGGUCCUACGUACUACUUCCUAGGUUAUACAGUCCUGGUUGCUCCCUUAACGUCAUACAGUCUUGGUUACUCUCUUAACAUCUCGAAGUAUGAUUCAAAUAAAAUCGACGAACGGGCGAAGUUCACAGAUCUAAUGUCCUUUGUACAAAGGAAUUCACUGUUUGGACCUAUGGUUAAAUAAGUUUGAUAAUAUAAAGAAUAUCUUCAUUACGUUAUAUAAGAGAGAGAAGACGGAUAAACUUUAUGACAACACC
rnacentral:rRNA from 1 species